rnacentral:rRNA from 1 species
ACGAACGCUGGCGGCGUGCCUAAUACAUGCAAGUCGAGCGAAGUUUUUCUGGUGCUUGCACUAGAAAAACUUAGCGGCGAACGGGUGAGUAACACGUAAAGAACCUGCCUCAUAGACUGGGACAACUAUUGGAAACGAUAGCUAAUACCGGAUAACAGCAUUAACUGCAUGGUUGAUGUUUAAAAGUUGGUUUUGCUAACACUAUGAGAUGGCUUUGCGGUGCAUUAGCUAGUUGGUGGGGUAAAGGCCUACCAAGGCGACGAUGCAUAGCCGACCUGAGAGGGUGAUCGGCCACACUGGGACUGAGACACGGCCCAGACUCCUACGGGAGGCAGCAGUAGGGAAUCUUCCGCAAUGGGCGAAAGCCUGGCGGAGCAACGCCGCGUGAGUGAAGAAGGAUUUCGGUUCGUAAAGCUCUGUUGUUAGGGAAGAAUGAUUGUGCAGUAACUAUACACAGUAGAGACGGUACCUAACCAGAAAGCCACGGCUAACUACGUG